rnacentral:rRNA from 1 species
UACAGAGGGGGCAAGCGUUGUCCGGAAUUACUGGGCGUACAGCGCGCGCAGGCGGUUGCCGACGUGCCGUGUGACAAACGGGGGCUCAACCCCCGAGGGCCACGGUAAACGGGGCGACUGGAGGAAGGGAGAGGGAUGUGGAAUGCCCGGUGGAGCGGUGAAAUGCGUAGAGAUCGGGCGGAACACCCGUGGCGAAGGCGGCUCUCUGGGACGGUACUGACGCUGAGACGCGAAAGCGUGGGGAGCGAACAGG